rnacentral:sRNA from 1 species
CUUUGCAGAAAUCGUUUAAGCUCAAUAUUGUUGCUAGUGAUUGUUUUGGUCAUUCUAAACACAAAAAGCUGGAGACCAUUUGAUAAACUCUACCUAUUGUCUGGGGCAGCAGGCAGCACUACUACUACUCUCACUCACAGACAGACAAGAAUGAAAGAAUCACAAGUCCACUUCACUGCUCUUUCAGGAGUCGAGUCUGAAAUGCCCAAAAAUAAAAAUAAAUACAAAAUCAUAUAAAAAUCACUGAAUAUAAGAACAAAAAACAAAAAAAAACACCAAUAUCAAAAGCCUAAACAUACCAAAAAAUUUAACUAAUUUACUUUGAUUUGCUUUCUCUUAUUCAACUAAAAAAAAAAAAAAAAUACGAAAAAAAAAA